rnacentral:lncRNA from 1 species
AUCACAGGUAUGCACCACCACACCCAGCUAAUUUUGUAUUUUUAGUAGAGAUGGGGUUUCUCCAUGUUGGCCAGGCUGGUCUCUAACUCCUGACCUCAAGUGAUCCGCCUGCGUCUGCCGCCCAAAGUGUUGGGAUUACAGCCAUGAGCCACUGCGCCCAGCCACAUCUGGCUAAUUUUUGUAUGUUUUCAUAGGGACCACGUUUUGCCACGUUGCCCAGUCUGGUCUCGAACUCCUGGGCUCAAGCAAUCCUCUCACCUCAGCCUCUCAGGGUGCUGGGAUUAUAGCCAAGAGCCACUAUGCCUGGCCAAAGCCCACAUUUUACAUUCUCUCAGUGACCCUUGGGGUGGGCAGCUCAUCCCCCAAGACCACAGCCUGGACCCCCAGAUGUUAGUCUCUGAAUCCUGCCCAUAUCCAUCUCCACCCCCCACCCCCAGCUUCCUACCUUAGGUCCAGGGCGUCCUGGAUAACCUGGGAGGCCUGGCACCCCAAGCUUGCCCUGCAGAAAGGUUAUGGGACAAAGGUCAGAAAUUGCAACCUGGAGGUCAGAGGCGGAAAGGUCAGGCUGGCUGGGGCAUGGUGAAUGGGCUAAUGGGAUGGGAGUUGGGGAAACGAGGUUCAAGUCCUUGCUCCUGCCUGCUAGGGGCAUGUCCUUGGGCAGGUCAUUCAGCCAUUCCAAGUCUCAGUUUUCCUUGUCUGUAAAAUGGGAUGAAAAUGCCUAUUGCAUGUGGUGGUUAUGGAUAUGAACACAUAAGUUGCAUGCAUUAAAUUGCUCUGUAAUGCUGAGCUGAGGAAUUAAAGAUGACAAGGUUGGUAGCAACCUCCUGAGGUCGAAGGUAUAAUAAAAGGGCAAAGGGCAGAGGGAAAAGAUUGGGGACACCUUGACUGUGGGAGGCUAGAGGGUGGAGAGUCAUUUACCUUCUCCCCAGCUGAGCCUGGGGGCCCCUCCUCGCCAGCCUGCCCCGCCUGCCCCUUCGGCCCCUCAGGACCAUCCUCUCCCCGGGGACCUGGAGCUCCGGGUUUCCCCUGGAAGAAAAAGGAGAGUAUUUAAUAUCCAUCUUUUGUCCUUCCUGCUCUGUCUAGCCCCAGCUCAUCCCCUCCCUAUCUUCCCCGAGCCCCCAGACCCACACCACCCCUCAUCUGGAGCUGGUCUUACCUGAUCACCUUUGAGCCCCACAUCGCCCUUGAAGCCUGGGAAGCCGUCCUCUCCCUGGGUGGGAGAGACAGAGGCCAGAAGUGAGGGCCUCGGGGAAGGGACACAACCAGGACCCCAUGAUUGGGACUCCCUCUCCUCUGAUGAGUUCCUUCUCUCCUCACCUUCUCGCCUUUCUCCCCCUGGAGGCCCCGGUUGCCUGAAGUGCCCUGGAAAAUAAAAAAAAAAAGCUCUCAAGCCUCUUCCCUGCUUAAGAAGUGACCCAGACUCAGUCCCCUGCUCUAAAGCAGCCAGGAUAGUCCCAAGAGGAGGCUAGGCAGAAGCUGGGAGGGGCAGCUUCAGAAGAAAUGAUCUUUCCCCAGAGGCCCCUCCCUCCCCACUGGAGGCCUCUCAAGGUCAUCUGUGCGGGGGUGUGCAGGGAAGGCCAAAUUUCCAAGUAAGCGAUUCCCAUCUCCUGGAGACGCUUUGUCCACAGUUCCUUCUGGCAGGAGAAAGAGGAUGAACAUUCCAGGCCCGGACCUCAUUUUAAAGGCAAAGGAAUGUUCCCCAUUGUGCCAGCUACAAGGCGACUCUGUGCUUGGCAACAAGAUGACCUCUGUGCUUGGCUAUGGAGAGAGCGCUUAGUUCAAGUCUGGAUGCUGCUCACACCAAACUCUGAAAACUGCACUUGGCUACAACAUCUCUGAGCUCAGCGGGCUACAAUGAAAUUGCGCUUGGAUACAAUACAGCCCAUGUGGUUAGUCUCCAGCUACAGACAAAUUCACUUGAUCACAAUGUAACUGAGCUUGGCUACAAGUUGUUCUCUAGCUUUGGCUACAAUGUAACUAGACUCAACUACAACAUAGGGGUUGGCUACAAUGUAACUAGACUCAACUACAACAUAGGGGUCAGUUAAUGUUUCUAAAGGCUGGGCAUGGUGGCUUACACCUGUAAUCCCAACAUUUUGGGAGGCAGAGGCUGGAGGAUUGCUUGAGCCCAGGAGUUCCAGACCAGCCUGGGCAACACAGGAAAACCUCAUCUAUACAAAAAGUACAAAAAAAAAAGAAAAAAGGUAGCCGGAUGUGGUGACGUGCACCUAUAGUCCCAGCUACCUGGGAGGGUGAGGUGGGAGGAUUGAUUGAGCCUGGGAGCUCUAGGCUGCAGUGAGUGAACUGUGAUGGUGGUACUGCACUCCAGCGUGGGUAACAGAGUGAGACCCUGUCUCAAGAAUAAUAAUAAUAAUAAUCAAAUGAAAAAACUGCCAAGCCUGGUGGGAUACGCCUAUAGUCCUAGCUAUUCAGGAGGCUAAAGUGAGGGGAUUACUUGAGCACGGGAGUUCAAGGCUGCAGUGAGCCAUCAUUAUGCUGCUAUAUUCCAGCCUGGGCAACAGAGAAGACCCUGUCUCUAAAAAAUAAAACAUUUAGGGCCGGGUGUGGUGGCUCAUGCCUGUAAUCCCAGCACUUUGAGAGGCCGAGGCGGCCGGAUCACCUGAGGUCAGGCGUUCAAGACCAGCCUGACCAACAUGGAGAAAUCCUGUCUCUAUUAAAAAUACAAAAAUUAGCCAGACGUGGUGGCACAUGCCUGUAAUACCACUACUCGAGAGGCUGAGGCGGGAGAAUCGCUUGAACCUGGGAGGCAGAGGUUGCGGUGAGCCCAGGUGGCAUCAUUGCACUCUAGCCUGGGCAACAAGAGCAGAACCAGGUCUCAAAAACAAAAACAAAAAAAGAUUAAAAAUGUAAUUAUGCUUGGCUACAAUGUAACUCUGAGGGUGAUGCUUGCCAGACUCUGUGCCUGCUACAGUAUAGCCAAUUCCUUGAUUAUAGUGUGUCUAAGCUUGUCUAAUGCACACAUGUUCAGGUAAAUUACAUCUGUAUUUGGCUACAAUGUCACUGGACUCAGCUUCCAUAUGGAUAUGAACUCUAAUGCCCCUGCACCUCUAUUUAGCCAGGUUGCAGCUCUUGGCUUAACCCAGCAUACUGUGCUUAUGUGAUUCUGAGCUUGGGUUAGAACACAACCCUCGGGCCAGGCACAGUGGCUCAUGCCUGUAAUCCCAGCACUUUGGGAAGCCAAGGAGGGUGGAUCACCUGAGGUCAGGAGUUCGAGACCAGCCUGGCCAACAUGGUGAAACCCUGUCUCUAAUAAAAAUACAAAAAUUACCCAGGAGUGGUGGUGCAUGCCUGCAGUCCCAGCUACUCAGGAAGCUGAGGCAGUAGAAUCGCUUGAAUCCGGGAGGAGGCAGAGGUUGCAGUGAGUGGAGAUCGCUCCACUGCACUCCAGCCUGGGCGACAAAGCGAGACUCUGUCUCAAAAAAAAAAAAAAAAAAAAAAAAAGAAAGUAAAGAAAAGAAAAGGAAAAAGGAAAAGAGAAAAGAAAGAAAUGUGUUUGGCCUCUAAUGGGCUUAGCUGUUCUAACAACAAGGUGACAACCACACUGUAAGGCUGUCCUUGGCUGUGCAGCUCCAAACCCCAGUCCCACUACAUUUGGCCUGGCCAACUGAUUCCCCUCUCCACACAUCCAGAAGUUUCUGAUGGAGCUGCAUCGCAUGCCUGAACCCAAAGCUGGUAAAUCACUCAUACCUGCAAGCGUAUCACCUACCUUCACUCCCCGAGGUCCAGGAUAGCCCGGAGGGCCUGCCGACCCUGGUGGACCCUGGGAGGAAAAUAAGCUCAUGGUUCUCACCAGAGGGCCAUCGGAUCCUGGGAGGCCUGGAAUUCCUGGGUUUCCAGGGGGACCCUGAAAGAAGAUGAACAGCAGGGGAGAGACAGAGGUGCUCAGAGCCCUGGAGCACCACUAGGAUCUACGCAGACAUGCAGCCGCCUCAAGGUUAAGAAAUAAGCAGACCUCACUGGCCAGGAAAUCUAUCCCAGCUCUGCCCAAACUUGCUGUGUGACCCCAGGCAAGCCCAUUUCCCUCUCUGAUCCUCAGAAAUCCACUGCCUCUGGGAAGGUUGCAAGGAAGAACAUAAAAACAGUACAAGAUUGAUAGCACAACAGGGUAACUAUAGUCAAUUAUAUGUCGCCCAGGUUGGAGUGCAGUAGCAUGAUCUCAGCUCACUGCAACCUCUUCCCAGGUUCAAGUGAUUCUCCUGCCUCAGCUUCUCCAGUAGCUGGGACUACAGCACCCGGCUAAUUUUUGUAAUUUUAUUAGAGAUGGAGUUUCACUAUGCUGGCCAGGCUGGUCUCAAACUCCUG